AGCUCCAAUAGCGUAUAUUAAAGUUGUUGCAGUUAAAAAGCUCGUAGUUGAAUUUUGGGUUUGAUCGACUGGUCUUGUCGCAAGAUAUGUACUAGUUGGUCGAAUCUUUCCUUCUGGCGAACUAUUGUGCUAUUAAUUUAGUGUGAUAGGGAUCCAGGACUUUUACUUUGAAAAAAUUAGAGUGUUUAAAGCAGGCUUACGCUUGAAUACAUUAGCAUGGAAUAAUAGAAUAGGACUUUGGUUCUAUUUUGUUGGUUUCUAGGACCGAAGUAAUGAUUAAUAGGGAUAGUUGGGGGCAUUAGUAUUUAAUUGUCAGAGGUGAAAUUCUUGGAUUUAUGAAAGACUAACUUCUGCGAAAGCAUUUGCCAAGGAUGUUUUCA
rnacentral:rRNA from 1 species